AUUGAACGCUGGCGGCAGGCCUAACACAUGCAAGUCGAGCGGAUGAGUGGAGCUUGCUCCAUGAUUCAGCGGCGGACGGGUGAGUAAUGCCUAGGAAUCUGCCUGGUAGUGGGGGACAACGUUUCGAAAGGAACGCUAAUACCGCAUACGUCCUACGGGAGAAAGUGGGGGAUCUUCGGACCUCACGCUAUCAGAUGAGCCUAGGUCGGAUUAGCUAGUUGGUGAGGUAAAGGCUCACCAAGGCGACGAUCCGUAACUGGUCUGAGAGGAUGAUCAGUCACACUGGAACUGAGACACGGUCCAGACUCCUACGGGAGGCAGCAGUGGGGAAUAUUGGACAAUGGGCGAAGGCCUGAUCCAGCCAUGCCGCGUGUGUGAAGAAGGUCUUCGGAUUGUAAAGCACUUUAAGUUGGGAGGAAGGGCAGUAAGUUAAUACCUUGCUGUUUUGACGUUACCAACAGAAUAAGCACCGGCUAACUCUGUGCCAGCCGCCGCCGUAAUAC
rnacentral:rRNA from 1 species